rnacentral:rRNA from 1 species
UGCUGAAUUAUUCACCCUUGUCUUUUGCGUACUUCUUGUUUCCUUGGUGGGUUCGCCCACCACUAGGACAAACAUAAACCUUUUGUAAUUGCAAUCAGCGUCAGUAACAAAUUAAUAAUUACAACUUUCAACAACGGAUCUCUUGGUUCUGGCAUCGAUGAAGAACGCAGCGAAAUGCGAUAAGUAGUGUGAAUUGCAGAAUUCAGUGAAUCAUCGAAUCUUUGAACGCACAUUGCGCCCUUUGGUAUUCCAAAGGGCAUGCCUGUUCGAGCGUCAUUUGUACCCUCAAGCUUUGCUUGGUGUUGGGCGUCUUGUCUCUAGCUUUGCUGGAGACUCGCCUUAAAGUAAUUGGCAGCCGGCCUACUGGUUUCGGAGCGCAGCACAAGUCGCACUCUCUAUCAGCAAAGGUCUAGCAUCCAUUAAGCCUUUUUUCAACUUUUGACCUCGGAUCAGGUAGGGAUACCCGCUGAACUUAAGCAUAUCAUGCGGAGGGAUCAUUACACAAAUAUGAAGGCGGGCUGGAACCUCUCGGGGUUACAGCCUUGCUGAAUUAUUCACCCUUGUCUUUUGCGUACUUCUUGUUUCCUUGGUGGGUUCGCCCACCACUAGGACAAACAUAAACCUUUUGUAAUUGCAAUCAGCGUCAGUAACAAAUUAAUAAUUACAACUUUCAACAACGGAUCUCUUGGUUCUGGCAUCGAUGAAGAACGCAGCGAAAUGCGAUAAGUAGUGUGAAUUGCAGAAUUCAGUGAAUCAUCGAAUCUUUGAACGCACAUUGCGCCCUUUGGUAUUCCAAAGGGCAUGCCUGUUCGAGCGUCAUUUGUACCCUCAAGCUUUGCUUGGUGUUGGGCGUCUUGUCUCUAGCUUUGCUGGAGACUCGCCUUAAAGUAAUUGGCAGCCGGCCUACUGGUUUCGGAGCGCAGCACAAGUCG